ensembl:lncRNA
GAUGAAGAAAGUUCUCGAAGCUUGCUGUAAUCUUUGAUAAAGUGUAUGCAUGAGCUGUCUUUCCCAGGAAGUCAAGGUCAAGACAUUAAGAUUCAGCCUCACAAGACCACAUGCAGGCUGAAGAUGAAAACCAACCAGAGAAGUCCAGACAGUCAAGGGAAAAGAAAUUCAGUCUUCAAGGUCAAACGAGGCAGUCAUGCAAAGAUCAGGGAGAACAGCACUUCAGGAAAACAUGACAAAGUUAGAAGCUCUAAGAAUGAUCUUAACCUGUUUGAGAAAUACUGAAAGUCCAGUUUGGUUGGAGCCUGCAGGAUGAGAGGAUGAGAUGAAGCAAAUGGGGUAGCUGAAGAUGGUAUUUAAGGUGGUGGCAUCGGCUAUUUUGUUUUGGAGGACAGAAGUCUAAAAUCAAGGUGGUAUGUUCUGAGGUUCAUGUCCCCCCAGAAUUCACAUGUUGAAACUCUGCCAUCUAAAGCGAUGGUAUUAUUUCCUCUGGAAGCAUCCAUUUUGUGUGGUUACGUAGCCUCCAGGGGCCUUGAACUGCGUAGCCCCUCCCUAGAGCGCAUGCCUUAAAGAACAGCCUGCAGAGUCACAGCGACCAAUCCAGCCUUAGCCUGGGAACCCCAAAACAUUCUACCCUUGGACUCUAAUAAAAGCGUAUGUCCCAGAUCCUGCUGCUCAUACUCUGCCUGCACCCUGCCUUGACCUCCCUGUGUGGCUCCUCGAGAUACCUCCUCCAGGACCUUUUUUUUCCAGGAACCACAUCUAACCACACCCCUUCAAAUCAUCUACCUGCAAAGAAGGAGGGGAAACCCAGAUGUCAGCAGAACAGAGGAGCGGAAGGAUAUUGGAAGAGCAGCAGUUAUAGCAUCUCAAAGAGCGAGUGUUAUGGACAAGAGCCCCGGCGAAGGCCACUGUGCCGUGUGACACCUCCGAUGCCUCAUUUAGAGGGAUUUCAAAAGGAUUAAAUAAUUGUGAUUUUGGUCCUCUUGGUUUCUCUGAUGCUGCUGGGGCUCCCAUUUGCCUGAAGGGGCAUUCCUGUGAGUCAGCAUCCUCUCUAAUCAACAUGUUGCAGAAAAGUGUUUACACACAACAUCCAGAGAAGAGGUGGGAUGCCUACCACAGCAUGGCAUGCCUAGCGGUGCCAUGUCCGCAGCCGGGAUCUGAACUGGCGAACCCUGGGUCUCUGAGAAGUGGAACAUGCGAACUUAACCACUGCACCACCGGGACUAUAAUUGUCUGGAGCAGAAGAGAAAAGAUUGAUGUCUGGAUGAGAACAAGAGAACUGAGAAGAUUAAAUUAUUUCAGUAUGAAUCAAAUCACUCAUCUCUUUUCUGCUUAUUGGCUAGAUCACAAAGACGGUUUUACCGACUCUGACUUUUUAUGUCACUGGCCAUGUGGAAUCCUUACAUGCUGCUAGGUCCCCUGUUCUCAUAUUUCAUAGAAGUUCAAAGUAAGAUGAUAUAUCGCAAUUUGCAUUUAUCCUAGAGUUUGUAUAGGUGUUGCAUUUUAGUCUACUAUUCGGGAACAUAUGUAACACAUGGUACAAGGUUAAAAUGAGG